GAAUCUUGGACAAUGGGGGCAACCCUGAUCCAGCGACGCCGCGUGGGUGACGAAGGCCUUAGGGUUGUAAAGCCCUUUUCUCGGGGAAGAUGAUGACGGUACCCGAGGAAUAAGCACCGGCUAACUCCGUGCCAGCAGCCGCGGUAAGACGGAGGGUGCGAGCGUUGUUCGGAAUUACUGGGCGUAAAGGGCGCGUAGGCGGCCGGCUAAGUCGGAUGUGAAAGCCCGGGGCUCAACCUCGGAACGGCAUACGAAACUCGUCGGCUGGAGAACGGAAGAGGAGAGUGGAAUACCCAGUGUAGAGGUGAAAUUCGUAGAUAUUGGGUGGAACACCGGUGGCGAAAGCGGCUCUCUGGUCCGGAUCUGACGCUGAGGCGCGAAAGCGUGGGGAGCAAACAGG
rnacentral:rRNA from 1 species